rnacentral:rRNA from 1 species
AUUGAACGCUAGCGGGAUGCUUUACACAUGCAAGUCGAACGGCAGCGCGGACUUCGGUCUGGCGGCGAGUGGCGAACGGGUGAGUAAUGUAUCGGAACGUGCCCAGUAGCGGGGGAUAACUACGCGAAAGCGUAGCUAAUACCGCAUACGCCCUACGGGGGAAAGCAGGGGAUCGUAAGACCUUGCACUAUUGGAGCGGCCGAUAUCGGAUUAGCUAGUUGGUGAGGUAACGGCUCACCAAGGCGACGAUCCGUAGCUGGUUUGAGAGGACGACCAGCCACACUGGGACUGAGACACGGCCCAGACUCCUACGGGAGGCAGCAGUGGGGAAUUUUGGACAAUGGGGGCAACCCUGAUCCAGCCAUCCCGCGUGUGCGAUGAAGGCCUUCGGGUUGUAAAGCACUUUUGGCAGGAAAGAAACGUCGCGGGCUAAUACCCCGUGGAACUGACGGUACCUGCAGAAUAAGCACCGGCUAACUAUGUG